rnacentral:rRNA from 1 species
AUUGAACGCUGGCGGCAUGCUUUACACAUGCAAGUCGAACGGCAGCACGGACUUCGGUCUGGUGGCGAGUGGCGAACGGGUGAGUAAUACAUCGGAACGUGCCCAGUUGUGGGGGAUAACUACUCGAAAGAGUAGCUAAUACCGCAUGAGAACUGAGGUUGAAAGCAGGGGAUCGUAAGACCUUGCGCAACUGGAGCGGCCGAUGGCAGAUUAGGUAGUUGGUGGGAUAAAAGCUUACCAAGCCGACGAUCUGUAGCUGGUCUGAGAGGACGACCAGCCACACUGGGACUAAUACACGGCCCAGACUCCUACGGGAGGCAGCAGUGGGGAAUUUUGGACAAUGGGCGAAAGCCUGAUCCAGCAAUGCCGCGUGCAGGAUGAAGGCCUUCGGGUUGUAAACUGCUUUUGUACGGAACGAAAAGCUUCGGGUUAAUACCCUGGAGUCAUGACGGUACCGUAAGAAUAAGCACCGGCUAACUACGUGCCAGCCGCCGCCGUAAUAC